rnacentral:lncRNA from 1 species
ACUAUCACAGACUUAGCUUUUCUCUUUACCAUUUGGUCAACCGAGUUGACUAUGGCCGAUCCCUUUCCAUUGGGAAGAGAAUGCUUUACUAGAUAUCCAAUGUCAUCAUUGUCAAUGUCCAUAAAGUUUUAGGAAGUUGAUCUUAACAAAUAGAUAAGAUCAUUAAGGGUCUUGUCAUAGUCUGUUUCAUAGGUGUCCCAAAGGAACUCACUAUGUGACUUAGAAAGUGAUUGAACCACCAACUUUCUCAAGACUUUGACACCCAACUCUCCCGGCUUGUCAAUAUGUGACUACAUCUCCAAGAUGUGAUCACACCUAGACCUUGCCUUGCCAAUAGGGCUUGAGUGACCUUAAACUUUUCAAGAACUUGUGGGUUAGGGAGAAUAAUUGGAGGAGGAUAAAGAAGUAUGAUAUCCAUGGGACAUCAUCUUCAUUAGGAAACCUUGUUUCAAGAGAUUUGGGAAGAUCAUAGGUGUCUAAACCAGACAUCUUUUGGGAGAUAUUCAAGAUAGUUGAUUUUAAGUCCUUAAUAUGACACCCAAUAUGAAAUAUUAAGGCUAGGACCCAACAAACUAUUUUAUAACUUAGAAGAGGUGUGCCGUAAUCCAAGCUAUAAAAUAUUUGAAGGUAGGUGAAUGACAAUUCACCAAUUUCCACCAAGAUAAACGAAAUGUAUUAUUAGAAUGAGCUUGAAGACUUUAACUCUUUGUGAAGCUUGAAGUUAUUCUUGAGAGAAAAUGGGAAUGGACAGGAGGUAAAAUGACAAGAGGCGGUAGAGCUUUUUGGAAGGAAGUCGUCCAAAUAUAGGGAGUAUGAAAGUUUGAUGUAAUAUUCAACAUGGAUGCAUGUUGAAUAUUAAAGUACAUGGGGAAGUGGGGAAAAGUGUCUAAUCAUCAAAGCCAACACUCUUAUCCUUAACUUAUUCACAUCUUAUGAUUUAAAAUAAUAUCUUUAGAAAUCUUAAAUAUUAUUUUAAAUGAUCAAAUUUGGCUUAAAAUGGGGGUUUAAGGGGUCUAAGUUACGAAAAAAUACGAGUUUAGUGGGAUCCACGACAUCAAAAUACCUUAAAAUGAUGAAAUGAUCUUAAAGGGUCCAAAACCUGGAGUCAAAUGGUGAAUUCCAAAGUCAAACCAUGAGUUCCGAAGCUCUUCUUAGAUUCCAGAGUGGGUUCACGAGGUUCUGGAGUCAAACCUCAAAUUCCGGAGUGCCUUCUUCCAAGGUGCGAAGGGCUCCGGUGCGAGAUGGAUCGGUGGCUGAUCCUUCUGGAGUGAUAUGAGACCUUCCGAAGUCAACAGUUCUGGAUCAGCAGGUCGUCUGGAGCGAGAUUGUCCGAGUGAAGGGAUUCCGGAGCCAAAUCCGAAGGUUCCGAAGUGGGAGGGUCCAAAGUGCGAAGCUGUCCGGUGCGGUUAGGAGGUUCCGAACUGGGCUUGCUCCUUAAAGUUUUCUCCUUUCAUUUAGAGUAGGUUUUGACUUAGGAAACUACAUUGGGGGAUUAGGGAGAGAUUUGAGAUACAUGGAGAUAUUUGGGAGAGAUUUGUGAGACAUAUAUGUUUUGCAUUAUAACAAUACAUGGCUCAUUAGGAAUCAUAAUGUAAACCUUAGCGUUCCCCAGUGAAUUUCCGGUCCACCAAAUUCUCCUUAAAAGCUCAAAUGCACAUUAAUGGAGGCUAAGAGUCGAUUAAGGGUUUUAGGAGGCCUGGGCGUGUUGAAGAGGCUAGCCCUAAGGACUUAGAUGCUUAAAUAGGGAACACACACUUAAAAUUAGGGUUUUCACUGCUCCUUGUACGCCCCACUUAAUCAUCGUACACCCAGCGUACGAGGCCUCUCAUUCCCGAUACAUUCUUUGCAGUACACUAAGCGUACUCCAAAGUACGCCUCGCGUUCUACACUUCGCAACAGUACGCCCUGCGUACUUCCUAUGUACGCCCCGCGUACUUGGGUUCCCUCUUAAGCCCUAGAAUACUCUGAAGGCCAUAACUUCUUUGUUACAAAUCCGAUUCUGACGAUGCUUAUAUCCAUGAAAAGGUAGCAAGAAGCUCUACGCUUUUAUCAACUCAUACCUGCCAUGAAAGUUUCUAAACAAGGAUUCAAUUCCAUAAAACCCGAACUGACACUUUACCAAAAUACUACUUGGCUCCAAAACACAAACCGACCACCUGGAUAAUCCAAAUUACAUGACCCGCCUCCAAAUGAGAAACAAUUUGGAAUAGGGAGUUUCAUUUUGAAUACCAAUUUAUAGAAAGUAAAAUCAUAUUACCCUUUGUGAAAUCAUAAAAUGUCAAAUUAUACUCUUGAAACCUUGUAUAAGCGUUCAUAUAGUUUGUGUGUAAAACUAUUAAGUUUUAAAUUUAUAAACCUUGUAAAUUCGUGUCGCGUUAUUAAUUAUGUGUUAUCUUACUUAACUUAGGAACCGACACCUAACCAGUGGGGCGAACUCCUCCCCCAUAGUUAUAGUGUUUUCAUAUACAAACAAAGGGUUUAUUUAAAUAACUUAUUUAAUGUAAGUUAAUAAGUCAUGUCCAGUCAUGUCAUGAUAUUAAUAAAGUGUUAUAUGACUUUCUUAAUUCCUAGUAUUGACACUUAUCUCUUUGACUCACAAGAUAUCCCACUACAUACAGUCUCUUUCAACUAGUAUAAGUGGACAAAAUAUCUGUAUAUAUCCUAUUUCAAUCCUAUACAGUAACAUAAAUACAUUCGGGGUCUAAAAUGAGCUCAUAAUCGAACUGUGACGAACACCUCUACACUAACACUUGGAAAUUUUUGUGCUGAAAGUCCACACCCACGUUUAUUUACUGUCGUGCACUUUAUAGUUUAGGAAAGACAAUGCUUAUUUUGACUCUUCUGGUGAUGGUUGUAGCUAGCAAUUAAUGGUAGGAUGUCAACCCAUAUAAGUUUAUCAUACCAAACUGAUACCUAGCGUUCCUCGUUCCAUACUGAUUAACGGUUAUGACAUAGAGGAAUUUAUGCUAAGAUGUACGGUCUUAGUGUUGUUACAAAGUAGCCCAUAUAUCUUAGGAAAUGAUCCUAACUCAUAUGGCUUUAGAAAUGAACGUAGCUUCUACAAAGAGACUCGGGAGUGUUGGAUCCUAACAAUGAGUCUAGGCAUCCAAAUCCUAAACUCUCCGUUAUUAGUAUAUCAAACACCUAUAAUUAUUUGAUGUUUGGGAAUAAUUCUUGAUUGAAGUCUUAUGGUAUUUGAGAUUGGUAACACUUAAUGGAUUUUCAAAUUUCUAUUGUCUGUGAUGGCGAAAUUUGGACAACAUAACGUCUACUUCUACAACAUUUUCCAAGUUUCAACCAACGUUAAACCAACAAUUCCAAUAAUAUUUAAUAAAUUGCAUAACCAAUACGAUAUAUUAUUUAUUUGGUAACAAUUCUUAAAAUCCGAAAAUCAAUUAUGUGAUAAUAUAAGAUGGAUUUCAUAAUACAGUAAAAAUGAUUUAUAGUUUUAUAAUAAUUAUAAAAAUAUAAUAUAUCGUUUACUUAAAAUCAUUUCUACGUGAUGAUCGAGAGUAAAUAACAAUAACUGAUUUUUAUAUAUUUUCAAUUAAUUAUUAUGUAUUUGUUAAAACGUCAUUCAUCAACCAUUUAAGGUAAUGUACAUUUUUUUUGUUCAUAAUUAUGUUGAAUAACAUAUUUGUUCGUAUGUACAAUGUAUUUCCAUGCUUUCUCAACAUAUUCGUUCAUAUAUACCACAAGGCUUUCAAUUUAAGUUUCAUCAAAUAUACUUAUAUCCCACCGAGCUUUCCAAGGUGAAUAAGUUUUCUAAUGGACUACCAACGGACUUUGGUUCUAUGGUCAAACAAGCAACCACAUUGAAAGUCAUUAUCUGCGCAUCAAGGAAUGUUGAGACUCAGAUAAGGGAGAACGACUAGGAAAAAGUUGAGGUAGGAGAGAAGAGGAAGCUAGAGGGAUCUUCAAGAUCUUAUAAGAAAGGAAAAUUCUCGAAUUCCAAACUGUAUGAAAAAAAAAUUAGGGGUAGUGGUGCAGCCAAGUUGUGUGAGAAGUGCAAGAAGAACCACUUUAGGAGAUUAGAUGGAGAAGUGACUUGUUAUAAGUGUAGGAGGAUCGGUCACUAUUCCAACAAUUAUAUGUUUAAUGACAAGUUACACUACGGAAGUGGAGGCAAGCGGAAUAUAUCGAAAGAUUGCCCGAAGAAAAACAAAGCAGCAAAGCCAAAUAUUCUACCAAACCAAAAGGCGAGGGCAUAUUUUAUGGGACUUGAUGAGGAAACAAGAGGGCGAGAAUUUGGACCUGAUUUUCUAGAGUACUUGAGAGAAGGAUAGAAAUGAUUAGUACUAGGGUAUAUGGCAUGAUGUAAUAGGCAUAUAACGCAAAUAAAUCUUGUUACCGUUUUCGGAGAUAAUGCAAUUUCCUAAAUUAUGUUAUGUGCUUUCUAUGAGAUUUCCUUUUUGUUAUUACUUAGUGUACUGCGAGACAAUACUUGGGAUGAGUAUGAGUGGGUGUGAAAGGUAGAAGAGGCCUAUACUAUCUGAAGAACAAACUCACAGUUGGAUCAAGAAAAGUCAUAAGGUUACUAAGAUACUAGCAGGUAAUAUAUUUUGUUCAUUUCUAUCAUUACCUUUGUUUCAGUAAGGAGUAUGAAGAUAAGUAUUAUGACCUUAACCGUCAUAUCGAAUCGAGUCCGACUAAUCCAUGAAGUAAGUGAUGGUUUUUGAGCAUUCUAACACUUCCUAAGUGUACAUGCAACUCUAAUAACCUUGGAUCUAUGUUUGUCUAAUUAUCAUGAAAAGUUGAAAGCCAAGGUUAUAUUCCUAUCUAGCAUACAUGGGGAACAUUUUUUAACUUGAAUGAAAGAUAGAAUAACAUACCUUGUUGUUGAUUAUGAUCCUUCAAACCUUGUGAGCCUAGCACCCCAAGUGUGAUGCCUCAAAUGCUUCACACAACACCUAAUGCAAAGGAGUAAACUUUGAAAGAAUCUUACACUUGCAAAAUCGGCUCUAGCCCUCUUGUUUCUUAGUGUGUAACCGAUUUUGGUGGAGGAGAUGGUCUUUAUAUAGUGUGACACAUCUAGGGUUACACCAUGUAAACCCUAAUGUGUCAUGGCUCUUCAUUUCCAUGACCCAUGGGUUUGUAUCUCCCAUGGAGCAUCCUAUGGGUUUAACCCAACUUGAUCACCCAUGGAGCCUAUUAGCCCACUAUACAAGUUAUGGAUGAUUUAUAUAAUCAACCUAUAUAUUUAAUUAGUUAUCUUUUGAUCACUUAAUUAACUCUAAAUUAAUUAUUGAUCAAACUAAUUAAAUAAUAUUAUUAAUAUAUUAGAACUUAUAAUAUAUUAAUAAACCAUAAGUGUUACUUCUCUCAUUUUAGUUUAUCCAAUUGCAUGGGGCCAUGCAACCCAAAUGGACCAUGCCGGGUUGGGUCAAGUACAUACCAGAAAUAGUUAUGGACUUAGACACCUUAUCCAAAGUUUCCCACUUGGAUAAGUUUAAUAACUAUAACUGUAAGUAUGACUUCAGGAAUCGAUCAGCAAUCGUAGCUCUUUCAAGGUUUCUCGAAACUGAGAAGAUGAUGAUAUGCCAUUUAAGAUAAGUGAUCAUGUAAUCCUCUGUUCUAGAUAUCAGCCAGACAAAUACAUGGAACAAUGUCUUACGUAUUGUCCAGCAGUUUGUUUCUCGAUUUCCGAUUUGUUUGACAAAGAACUUAAUUGAACACAUCAACUUAGUUCUGACCGGGCCCGGUACAUAGGUCAAAACAAAAUCAUCAAGGGGCCCAGAUAUUAGCUUCUAAUCCAAGAAGGAACAGAUAAACUUCGACUCAUAUGUUUGUUCUACUACUCGUUGAAUUAUGCACACGAGCACGUUUUAUAACAUCGAGUUACCAAUGCGUUUUCGUACAAUCAAUGCAUAACCAACUCAUAAGUAAUAAGUCAUAUCUCUAGGUUUGAAGAAUUAUAUGAUAUUACCGUCUCACGAUCACUAGGGAUAAAUUCCAUGAAGGGAUUCCAGUGAGCUGGGUUGAGUCGAAUGCUCAGAACUUAUAAGCACUCAUGAGUGUUGUAGCCAUGUCCAACAACUUAUACCUCUGCAACCAAUCAUGACAGUCUUGAUUCAUACCUACUUCCGACAUAUGACCGACUGUGUAGGUUCGAAUAAUAUGAUAUACCAAACAUAAUUAUUCUGGAAGUCAAAACAUGCAAAAGAAAUAUAGUAACCGAUCGACAAAAGAUAGCAACACUUUACUCAUAAAUAAAACACCUUUUAUUCAUCAUCUAAUGUCAAUUACACUUUACAAAUUUCAAGGUUAUCUAACUACUAAAUCUAAUAUCAUCCUUCAGCCCUAUGCUCCGAGCAUGCUGGAGAUGCUUAACCCGAGUCAGUCCCUUCGUGAGGGGAUCUGUUGGAUUCUCAUCCGAUGAUACCCUCUUUGCCACGAGGAGUCCUUCUUCUAUUCGAUGUCUGAUGAAAUGGUAUUUUCUAUCGAUGUGUCUGGAUCUCCCGUGAUCCCUUGGUUCCUUGGCUAAGGCAACUGCACUUUCACUAUCAGAGAAAAUUUCCAUUGGCUCCUUUAUAGCUGGUACAACUCCAAGGUCUCCAAUGAAGUUCUUCAUCCAUAUCGCCUCCUUUUUUGCCUCGCUAGCUGCAAUAUACUCUGAUUCACAAGUAGAAUCAGCCACUGUCUCUUGCUUGGAACUCUUCCAAGAAAUUGCUCCUCCGUUUAGGGUAAAGACCCAGCCCGACUGAGAGCGGAAAUUAUCCCUAUCAGUCUGGAAGCUAGCAUCACUAUACCCUACAACUCUCAAGUCAUCACUCCCACCGAGGGUAAGGACCCAGUCCUUAGUCCUCCGUAGGUACUUGAGGAUAUUCUUUACCGCAGUCCAGUGUGCCUUGCCAGGGUUCGCCUGAUACCUGCUAACCAUGCUCAAGGCAAAAGCUACAUCGGGUCGAGUACACGUCAUAGCAUACAUGAUCGAUCCUACAGCCGAAGCAUAAGGUGUUCGACUCAUUUCUGCUAUCUCAGCCUCAGUGCUAGGGCUUUGUGUCUUACUCAAUCUGGUGUUACUCUGGAUGGGUAACUCUCCUUUCUUGGAAUCCUGCAUGCUGAAUCUCUUCAGCACCUUAUCCAAGUAGGUACUCUGACUAAGUCCAAUUAGUCUUUUACUCCGAUCUCUCAAGAUUCUUAUCCCUAGAAUAUAGGCAGCUUCACCAAGGUCCUUCAUAGCGAAACACUUCCCAAGCCAGGACUUUACUUCCUGCAGGGUUGGAAUGUCGUUUCCUAUGAGUAGUAUGUCAUCCACAUACAAUACCAAAAAGCUAACUAUACUCCCACUAGCCUUGACAUACACACAAGAUUCAUCUUCACUCCUAGAAAAGCCAAAUUCCUUGACCUUUUCAUCAAAGCAAAGAUUCCAUCUGCGAGGUGCUUGCUUCAAUCCAUAAAUGGAUUUCUCAAGCUUACACACUCUAUUAGGGUACUCGUUGCUGACAAAACCCUCUGGCUGACUCAUGUAAACAUCUUCAGCCAACUUUCCAUUAAGGAAAGCGGUUUUGACAUCCAUCUGCCAUAUUUCAUAGUCAUGAAAUGCAGCUAUGGCUAACAGAACCCGAAUAGACUUAAUCUUGGCUACCGGAGAAAAGGUCUCAUCAUAAUCCACUCCAGGAAUUUGAGAGAAGCCCUUUGCAACCAGUCUAGCCUUAUAAGUGUGUACUUUACCAUCCAUGUCGGUCUUCUUCUUGAAGACCCAUUUGCACCCUACUGUCUUACGACCUGGUACAUUUUCAACCAAGUUCCAAACUUGAUUGUCAUACAUGGAUUGUAUCUCGCUAUCCAUAGCCUCUUUCCAUUUAGCAGACUCGGGGCCUGCCAUGGCUUCCUCGUAGCUGUUAGGGUCAUCUUGACUUACUAGUGUCUCAUCACUAAUAAGUGUCUCACCUUCUGCAGUAAUAUGGAAUCCAUAGUAAUGCUCAGGUGCACUCCUAACUCUCGUGGAACGUCUCAGAGGUACAGAUUUGUCAAUUGGCUCAACAGGAGUUUCCUCCUCAAGUUGAGGGCUAGAGUUUGAAGUUCCUUCACCGCUUGAUUCUUGAAUUUCUUCAAGAUCAAUUUGCCUCCCACUGUCUCCUUGGCUUAUAAACUCUCUUUCUCGAAAGACUCCUCUUCUUGCUACAAAGACCACAUUGUCACUAGGUCUGUAGAAGAGGUAACCAAAGGAUCGCUGUGGGUAACCGAUGAAAAUACACCUCUCGCUUCGAGGUUCGAGCUUAUCAUGAGUCUCGCGUCUCACGAAAGCCUCGCAACCCCAAAUCUUGAUGUGGUCUAGUUUAGGUACUUUACCAGUCCACAUCUCGUGAGGAGUUUUGGCAACUUUCUUUGUAGGGACUAGAUUAAGAAUAUGGGCGGCAGUCUCUAAGGCAUACCCCCAGAAUGAGAUUGGUAGCGUAGCUCGACUCAUCAUGGAACGAACCAUAUCUAACAAGGUUCGAUUACGCCUCUCAGCCACACCAUUCAACUGUGGUGUCCUGGGAGGUGUCAAUUGUGAGACUAUCCCACAUUCCCUUAGAUAGUCGAGGAACUCUGAACUAAGAUACUCACCACCACGAUCGGAUCGAAGCAUCUUAAUGUUCCUGCCCAAUUGAUUCUCGACUUCCUGUUUAAAUUCCUUAAACCUCUUGAAAGUCUCUGACUUAUGCUUGAUUAAGUAGACAUAUCCAUAUCUACUGUAAUCAUCAGUAAAAGUCAAAUAAUAACAAUUAGCAUCCCUUGUGGUAUGUUUGAAUGGUCCACACACAUCCGUGUGUAUAAGGUCCAACAAACCUUCACCCCUCUCACACGAGCCUGUGAAGGGUGACUUUGUCAUUUUUCCAAGUAAGCAUGAUUCACAACUAUCAUCUGACUUUAGGUCAAAUGACUCCAAGACUCCAUCCUUUUGGAGUUGGCCUAUGCAUUUCUUGCUUAUAUGUCCAAGACGACAGUGCCAUAAUGAUGCUUUAUCCAAGUUAUUAUCAUUAACAGAAUCAAUACACAAUACAUUAUUUCCUAAGUUAUCAACCACAGAUACAGUUUCAUACACACCAUCAUAAGGUAAUGCUUUAAAAUAAAGAACAUUAUGAAAGAAACCAUUAAUCGAACCAACUUCAUUAUCAAAUGAAAAGGUAAAACCUUGUUUGUACAAUGCAUGAAAGGAAAUAAUAUUUCUUGCCAUUUCUAGUGAAGAACAACAUUUAUUCAAAUCUAAAUUAAACCCACUGCUUAGCGAUAAAGUUUAAACUCCAAUAUUGGUGACAGGUAAAGUUUUCAUAUUUCCCAUGAUUAAGUUUAUUCUUCCAUGCUCCACAUUCUCACUUCUUCGUAGCCCCUGCAAAUCAGAACAGAUAUGAAUACCACAACCGGUAUCAAGGACCCAAGAGUAAGAAUGGGGUGAGUUAUUAGAUAAGAUAGUGUAGAUACCUGCAUGGUUGGGUUUAACUUUCCCAUCCUUCACAUCUUGUUGGUACUUUAAGCAGUUCCACUUCCAAUGUGACUUUUCAUGGCAAUAGAAACAUUCAACCUCUUUUGGGUCAGAAGAAGGAGUGACGAAACAUUUCUUAGUUCCACUUGAAGAAGAGCCACCAAGGGUCCUAGCCUUGGUACCCUUCAAAGAGCUCUUCCUCUUCUUCCCUCGACCUUUCCCGAUUGCCAAAACCGGGGCGGAGUUUGGAGUAGGAGUGUUGACAACCGACUUACCCUUAAGACCUGUUUCUGCACUCUUGAGAAGUCCCUGANACUGUAUCUCGUUGUCCAUUGCCUCUUUCCACUUGGCUGACUUAGGGACUGCCAUGGCUUCCGUGUAACUAUUAGGAUCAUCCAUACCUAUCAAUGUCCCAUCACUGAUAAGUGUAUCACCUUUCGCGGUAAUAUGGAAUCCAUAGUAAUGCUCAGGUGCAUUCCUAACUCUCGUGGAACGCCUCAUAGGUACAGACUUGUCAAUUGGCUCAACAGGAGUUUCCUCCUCAAGUUGAGUGCUUGGGUUUGAAGUUCCUUCACCACUUGACUCUUGAAUUUCUUCAUGGUCAACUUUCCUCCCACUAUUUCCUUGGCUUAUGAACUCUCUCUCUCGGAAGAUAGCCCUCCUAGAUACAAACACCACAUUUUCACUAGGACUGUAGAAGAGGUAACCAAAGGAUUUUUGUGGGUAGCCGAUGAAAAUACACCUCUCACUUUGAGGUUCGAGCUUAUCAUGAGUCUCGUGUCUCACGAAAGCCUCGCAACCCCAAAUCUUGAUAUGGUCUAGUUUGGGUACUUUACCAGUCCACAUCUCAUGAGGAGUUUUGGCAACUUUCUGUGUAGGGACUAGAUUAAGGAUAUGGGCGGCAGUCUCUAAGGCAUAACCCCAAAAUGAGAUUGGUAGCGAAGCUCGGCUCAUCAUGGAACGAACCAUAUCCUACAAGGUUCGAUUAUUCCUCUCAGCUACAUCAUUUAACUGAGGUGUCCUGGGAGGUUUCAAUUGUGAGACUAUCCCACAUUCCCUUAGAUAGUCAAGGAACUCUGAACUAAGAUACUCACCACCACGAUCGGAUAGAAGCAUCUUAAUGUUCCUGCCCAAUUGAUUCUCGACUUCCUGUUUAAAUUCCUUAAACCUUUCGAAAGUCUCUGACUUAUGCUUGAUUAAGUAGACAUAUCCAUAUCUACUGUAAUCAUCAGUAAAAGUCAAAUAAUAACGAUUAGCAUCCCUUGUGGUAUGUUUGAAUGGUCCACACACAUCCGUGUGUAUAAGGUCCAACAAACCUUCACCCCUCUCACACGAGCCUGUGAAGGGUGACUUUGUCAUUUUUCCAAGUAAGCAUGAUUCACAACUAUCAUCUGACUUUAGGUCAAAUGACUCCAAGACUCCAUCCUUUUGGAGUUGGCCUAUGCAUUUCUUGCUUAUAUGUCCAAGACGACAGUGCCAUAAUGAUGCUUUAUCCAAGUUAUUAUCAUUAACAGAAUCAAUACACAAUACAUUAUUUCCUAAGUUAUCAACCACAGAUACAGUUUCAUACACACCAUCAUAAGGUAAUGCUUUAAAAUAAAGAACAUUAUGAAAGAAACCAUUAAUCGAACCAACUUCAUUAUCAAAUGAAAAGGUAAAACCUUGUUUGUACAAUGCAUGAAAGGAAAUAAUAUUUCUUGCCAUUUCUAGUGAAGAACAACAUUUAUUCAAAUCUAAAUUAAACCCACUGCUUAGCGAUAAAGUUUAAACUCCAAUAUUGGUGACAGGUAAAGUUUUCAUAUUUCCCAUGAUUAAGUUUAUUCUUCCAUGCUCCACAUUCUCACUUCUUCGUAGCCCCUGCAAAUCAGAACAGAUAUGAAUACCACAACCGGUAUCAAGGACCCAAGAGUAAGAAUGGGGUGAGUUAUUAGAUAAGAUAGUGUAGAUACCUGCAUGGUUGGGUUUAACUUUCCCAUCCUUCACAUCUUGUUGGUACUUUAAGCAGUUCCACUUCCAAUGUGACUUUUCAUGGCAAUAGAAACAUUCAACCUCUUUUGGGUCAGAAGAAGGAGUGACGAAACAUUUCUUAGUUCCACUUGAAGAAGAGCCACCAAGGGUCCUAGCCUUGGUACCCUUCAAAGAGCUCUUCCUCUUCUUCCCUCGACCUUUCCCGAUUGCCAAAACCGGGGCGGAGUUUGGAGUAGGAGUGUUGACAACCGACUUACCCUUAAGACCUGUUUCUGCACUCUUGAGAAGUCCCUGAUGGGAAGUUCACAUUAAGCUUCAGCAAUCGAUCCACAUACCUUUGCAUUUUUUGCAUGUGACUCGUGACGGAUUCCCCGUCCUUCAUCAUGGUUGUUAUGAUGGAGCAAAUGAUUUCAUACCUCUCUUGUCAUGCACUUUGAUGGUACCUUUCCAUCAGAUCUUGGUGCAUUUCAAAAGGGUAGAAGUCCUCAUAGGACUUUUGGAGUUCCGCUGUCGUGGUGGCCAACAUGAUGCAUGCCACUUUUGUAGCAUCCCUUUCAUGUGCCCGGAAGUCAGCAAUCUCCUGGGGAUUUUGCAGUGGUCUCAUCAAUCUCCUUAAGCUCCUUGUCAAGGACAUAUUCUUUGUCCUCGUAGCGGGUAAUCAUCCUGAUGUUUCUGAUCUAUUCAUUGAAGUUGGAUCCAUCAAAAGUGACUUUCUCACACAAGUUCAUAAGGGUAAAGGAGUCAUUAGGAUUAGAGCCAGAAGCAUCAUUGUUUGAAGACAUCUGAAAGAAGAGAACAAGAUUAGUUUAGAUAUUAAGAGAGUCCUUAAUAAAACACCCAAAUGUAAUAUUAAGGCUAGGAUCCAAUCACAUUAUAUUAUAAUCUAGAAGAGGUAUGCCGUAAUCCAAGCUAUAACAUAUUUGAAAGGUAGAUGAAUAACGAUUCACCAAUUUCCACCAUGAAAAACGAAAUAUAGAUAUUAGGUUUUUUAAUUGGUUCUUAAAAAUUCCUAGAUUCUUUUGAGAUUCAAUGAACUUUUCAAAGGCAUGUUUCAAUCUUGAGCAUGCCCUCCAAGUUUUGUGACUGGAAUACCAAGGAUCACAAAAUGAGGUGUGAAGUAACCAUGCAAAUCACAUGGUUCCUUAGCUGGUUACCACAAAACGAGGCAUAUUUGUUCGUAUGUACAAUGUCUUUCCAUGCUUUCUCAACAUAUUCGUUCAUAUAUACCACAAGGCUUUCAAUUUAAGUUUCAUCAAAUAUACUUAUAUCCCACCGAGCUUCCCAAGGUGAAUAAGUUUUCUAACGGACUACCAACGGACUUUAGUUCUAUGGUCAAACAAGCAACCACAUUGAAAGUCGUUAUCUGGGCAUCAAGGAAUAUUGAGACUCAGAUAAGGGAGAAUGACCAAGAAAAAGCUGAGGUAGGAGAGAAGAGGAAGCUAGAGGGAUCUUCAAGAUCUUAUAAGAAAGGAAAAUUCUCGAAUUCCAACCUAUAUGAAAAAAAAUUAAGGGAAGUGGUGGAUCCAAGUUGUGUGAGAAGUGCAAGAAGAAGCACUUUGGGAGAUUAGAUGGAAAAGUGACUUGUUAUAAGUGUAGGAGGAUCAGUCACUAUUCCAAGGAUUAUAUGUUUAAUGACAAGGUACACUACGGAAGUGGAGGCAAGGGGAAUGUAUCGAAAGAUUGCCCAAAGAAAAACAAAGCAGCAAAGCCAAAUAUUCUGCCAAACCAAAAGGCGAGGGCAUAUUUUAUGGGACUUGAUGAGGAAACAAGAGGGCGAGAAUUUGGACCUGAUUUUCUAGAGUACUUGAGAGAAGGAUAGAAAUGAUUAUACUAGGGUAUAUGGCAUGAUGUAAUAGGCAUAUAACGCAAAUAAAUCUUGUUACCGUUUUCGGAGAAAAUGAAAUUUCCUAAAUUAUGUUAUGUGCUUUCUAUGAUAUUUCCUUUUUGUUAUUACUUAGUGUACUGCGAGACAAUACUUGGGACGAGUAUGAGUAGGUGUGAAAGGUAGAAGAGGCCUAUACUAUCGGAAGAACGGACUCACAGUUGGAUCAAGAAAAGUCAUAAGGUUACUAAGAUACUAGCAGGUAAUAUAUUUUGUUCAUUUCUAUCAUUACCUUUGUUUCAGUAAGGACUAUGAAGAUAAAUAUUAUGAUCUUAACUGUCAUAUCGAAUCGAGUCCAACUAAUCUAUGAAGUAAGUGAUGGUUUUGAGCAUUCUAACACAUCCUAAGUGUACAUGCAACCCUAAUAACCUUGGAUCUAUGUUUGUCUAAUUAUCAUGCAAAGUUGAAUUCCAAGGUUAUAUUCCUAUCUAGCAUACAUGGGGAACAUUUUUUAACUUGAAUGAAAGAUAGAAUAACAUACCUUUGUGUUUAUUAUUAUCCUUGAAACCUUGUGAGCCUAGCACCCCAAGUGUGAUACCUCAAAUGCUUCACACAACACCAAAUGCAAAGGAGUAAACUUUGAGAGAAUCUUACACUUGCAAAAUCGGCCCUAGCCCUCUUGUUUCUUAGUGUGUAAUCGAUUUUGGUGGAGGAGAUGGUCUUUAUAUAGUGUCACACAUCUAGGGUUACACCAUGUAAAUGAAGAGAAUUGUUAUCGAGAUUAUGAAAGCAAUUAUGAUUUGAAUGAUUGAAAUGUAAGAACAUGAAGAGUAAAUAUUAAUCAGAUCUUAUAUUGAUGAAGACUGAUUACAAUGCAUAAGCAUAAAGAAUACUCGAGUUCCAAAAGUUUUUUUUUACUUCUAUCCUCAGUCCCUAUUUAUAGGAAACCUGGGUGUACAAAAAAUAUACUAAGUCUAUUACAAUACGCUUCGCAUAAAACUGUGACUUAGUAAAAUAACUAAUAUGCAAAACCAAAAGAAACAACCACUUCGAAUUUUACAAUACAUAGACUCUACGAUCUCCCCCUUUGUAAACAGUCGAAGCUAUUCAGUCCAUAAGUCUCUGAAUAGCUAAGUAAAUUGUCAUUCGCACUUCAGCAUACUAAGUAAUCAUCUUCUUAAGCUCCUUCUUGUCUCCUUCGUUAUUCUUCUUGUAGUUAUUCAUACGAACAAUAAAAUUCGUAUAUUGCGAAGAAGUAUAUCUUUCAAUCUCCAAGACCUUGAGCAAAAAUUUCUUGGGCUUCCCCUUCGUAUCUCUCCCUGAAAAUACCAUGCCAAAAGGUUUCAGGCAUAUUUCACCAUCAGCAUACUUAGACAAUGCUGACUGGGUCAAGGUAUUUUCCCAAGGGACAUUCACUUCCCUUCCCAAGGUCGUUGCGAGUUCUUCAUCGGUUAAUGCCAAACAGUCAAAGUAGUUAUCAAUAAAAACCUUGACAUGUGCGAAACCGAUUCUAAACACUUCAGUAUCAAAUCCUUUGAGCUUGUGGUCUUGAAUAUGUUUCAAAAUAAUAGCCACUUGGAUAAGAUCAUUACAAUUCAUCAGAGGGAAGUCAGCUAUUGUGAAGUCAUAGUGUUUGUCAUCAGCUCGAAUGACAAAAUAUCGAAAGUUCUGAAGCAUGUCUUCAAACAUCGAAUCCUUCUUAAUCAUCAACACCUUUUUAGUCUUCAUCAAGGACCAUACUUCAUCUGGAUUCUUUCCCAAUACAGCAUGAAAUUUGAUUUUCAUGUGUAUGUAGUCAUCAGUAUUAUCAAACUUUUCGCUUAUCUUGUACUGAGCUGUAAUGAAUAGCAUUUCAUUAAUCGGAAAAUCUAACUGGCAUUUGUCUGAAUUGGAUAUAUCAUAGCGUCUUUUUGGCUUUUUCUCAAACUCGUGCAUCUCACUCCCCACCACUUUCGAUUCUAUAGUUUCAUAAGAAUAAAGCUUCGCAGGAUCUCCUUUAUUCAUUGUUGGUGGAUCACUUGCCCUUUGCCUCAUUAUGCUCUGAACUUGCCUCAGCCUUUCCAUUUCAGCCUCUGCUUUAGCUUUCUUCUCCUCCUUCGACUUUUCAUACACAAUCCCUUUCCCUUUUCCCACAUCAUCAGUUGGAGGUUUCGCACUAGAACUUCCUCCUUCUUUUGACCCAAUAGAUAUUCCUUUGGCUAUUGGUCUCGUGGUCAUAAUUGUUGAGGAAAUCGGCAUAGUGAAUAUCGGAAGAGUAGUUUUGAACUGAGUUGAUAUCACUUUCCCCACAAUUUUCGCAUCAUCCUAUUUACUUGUAUUCUUCUCUCCCCCUUGCACCCUUGUGAAAGCAGGUGGGGAAUUCUUCGGUAGUAAAGAGGUAAAGUUGGAUUGACUUUGAGAGACAAGAAUUCAGGAGUAAGAAUCGUUUGAGAUGUAGGUUGCGAAACCAAGGUUUUCAAACCAGUCACCAAUUGAAUCAACUUAUCAAAUUUCUCCUUGGUUUCUUUCUGAUUGGCUUCAAGAAUCGGAGCAGGAGAUUGAAAAUCAUUGAUAAUCGGGCAGAAUACCAUAUGUCACAUAUACACAGCCUGUCAUAUCUGUUUUAUGAAAUUGUAAUUGUUAUAACCCUUCGCAUGGAGGCUAGGCUCGUUCACUUUUGGGAUGAGAAGCGAAGUCAUAUGCCAGACUUGCGAAAUCUUCAGCCUAAGUUGGUAUUACUUAGAACCUCAAGUAUUUUGUGAGUGCAUGUGAGUCAAAGAAAUAAGAUGAGAAGCAAGCCAAAAAAAAUUUGGAAUUUUGUGAUGUCAAAAAUACAAUUUGACACAAAGGCAGUAAAACCNAUCACCUGUAUUUAUUGAAAAAAUUUAGGAACCCAAGACUUAUUGGGUCCACCAUUAGUAUUUUUGAACAAUUGCUUUGAAUUUAAAAACCAUGUUUUCACUUUGUCUGUGACACUAUCAAUUAUAUCAACAUCAUUCGAUCUAGAUAUUGAAAUAUAGUUGUUCAACAGUUUUGGAUUUUCGUUGAGUUUCAUCUCAUCUUUCACAACAUUCGCAACUUUGAUAACUAGUUNAAAUUGUAACUGAAAUUACUUGUAUGACCAGUGUAGUCAGUGACAAGUCUGCUUUUGAAAAUAUUUAUCAUGACUAGGAUAUGCGAAUGAAACUCACACUGAAAUCAUAUUCAAAAAAAAAAUUGUUGUAUUGGAUCUUGUUGGGUAACAAACAUCCUGGGUUGCGAAUCUUUGAUCAAGACCACGCAUGCGAAGUGAAUAUGAUUUUGAGUUUCAAAUUGUGGUACAGAAACAACAGUUUCGUCAAUUUCUGGAACAAUGUUCCCCGUCAAUUCCUUAAACACAUAAUUUUCAUAUAUCUAAGUCUUGAUGGGUUUCAUCAGAGACCUCUCGAACAUACGUCUUUGUGUGUGAUUUGUGUGAAGAAAUUUGUGAUGAAAAAGAUUGGUUAUAAGAUUGAAUGUACCUCUAUUAUUUGUGGACCAAACAGAAAAACUCUUAACUCAUAUGAGAAGAGUAAGGUAGCUCUUUUGACUAAUGCGAAUACAAGCCUUGUUGGGAAGAAAUNCAUUGGAAUUUUGUCAACAGAAUUUAUUGGUUUAUGAAAAUUUGUAUCCUUUCGUUUAUUUAUGCUUUGAAAUUUUGAUGAUUUUGACUUUGAAAUUUGUUCCUUUUCAACUUUUGAUUUAUCAUUGGACACAGCUUGCCAAAAGAUUGUNCUAACUAGUACAAAAUUGAAAGAAAUGAUACCUUCCCAUAGAAACAUACAAGCAUGACCUCUUCGCAUUAAGUCUUGGACUAAACUCAAAACACACAAUGCUUAAAGAACAAACAAAAAAAAAAUUUUUUGGGAUUUUUAAUUUUUUCAAAAUUAAAAACUAAACAAAUAAAAUCUUUUUGGAUUUUUGAUUUUUCGAAAAUGAAAAUGAAUUAAAAGAAAAUAUUUUUGAUUUUUCAAGUUUUUUUUUAAAUGUUAAAACACAAAAAUGAAUGUUAAACUAAACCUUAGUUAUCAUGUGUGCGAAUGCGAAGAAAUGUGGAUGUGAAGCCAUGCGAAGCCUCUUAAUGAACAGUAACUUUUGAACAAUUUCAACUCAGAGCUUCUGAACGUACCUUUCAUCCUUGAAUUAUGGAUUUUGAAACUGAAUUCACAUCGAUCAUUCCCAAACAUGCUAAAAUUCUUACAAAUGAUUUUUCAUCAAGAGGUUUAGUAAAAAUAUCAGCAAGUUGUUCAAUGGUUUUAACAAAAUGAAUUUCAAUAUUCCCAUCUUCCACAUGAUCUUUGAUAAAAUGAUAUCGAAGAGCAAUGUGUUUUGUCUUUGAGUGUUGUACUAGAUUAUGAAAAAUGAGAAUCGCACUUUGAGAAUCACAAUACAAAGGAAUCUUUUUCAUAUUGAUAGCAUAAUCACGAAGUUGACUCUGAAUCCAAAUGAUUUGCGAAGUGCAAGCAGCAGUUGCAAUGUAUUCAGCCUCCGCAGUUGAUAUAGCAACACAAGUUUGCUUCUUUGAUUGCCAACUUACCAACUUUCCAUCCAAAAGUUGACAUCCACCACUUGUACUUUUCCUAUCCAAUGUAAAUCCUCCUAGAUCAGAAUUUGAAAAAGCUUGAAUGAAAAAUCCCGAUUUCGAAGGAUACCAAAGUCCUAACGAAAUUGUCCCCUUAAGAUAGCGAAAAAUAUUUUUCACUGCAGUCAAAUGAGGUUCUUUGGGAUUAGCUUGAUAUCUAGCACAAUUACAUACCGAAAACAUAAUAUCAGGUCUACUUGCAGUUAAGUACAAUAAAGACCCUAUCAUGCUUCAAUAAAGUGUUAAAUCAACAGCAGGAGCAUCUAACGAAGGAGUUAGUCUUGUUCCCACUGCCAUUGGUACUCUCAGUUUCGUGUUGUUGGUCAUUCCAAACUUUUCAAGCAACUUCUUUGUGUAUUUUUCUUGAUUGAUUAAAAUUUCAUCCCUGUUCUGUCUUAUAUUCAAUCCAAGAAAAUUAUUAAUUUUUCCCAUCAUACUCAUUUCAAAUUGACUCUUCAUUAGAUUUUCAAAUUCAAUUGACAAUGUUGGGUCAGUUGAGCCAAAAAUAAUAUCAUCAACAUAAAUUUGAACAAUCAUAAGAUAUUGGAAGCUUUUGAUAUUAAACACACUACAGGUUUGCCCACGAUUGGUUUGAUGUCUAGUGUAAACAUGUCACCAUAUCGUUUGGAUUUGAGAAGUACUUCAUUUGUCUUUGCAUUUGAAAUGAUACUUCCUUCUUCAUUAAGCAUAACUUGAUUUCCAGUACCCACAACAAGUUGUGAAACACUAAUCAAGUUAUGUUGAAGACCUUCAACAUAAGCAACUCUGUUAACGGAGAAUUGUCCAUUUGUGACUUUCCCAUAGCCUUUCACUUGACACUUGUGAUUAUUUCCGAAUUUGACUACUCCUGCAUUUUCCAAGCUUCGAUAAUCUCGCAAGUUUUCCUUUCUUCCAGUCAUGUGACGAGAGCAACCACUAUCUAUAUACCAUUUCGCAUCAUAUUGCUCGUCACACAUCACCUGUAUUUAUUGAAAAAAUUUAGGAACCCAAGACUUAUUGGGUCCACCAUUAGUAUUUUUGAACAAUUGCUUUGAAUUUAAAAACCAUGUUUUCACUUUGUCUGUGACACUAUCAAUUAUAUCAACAUCAUUCGAUCUAGAUAUUGAAAUAUAGUUGUUCAACAGUUUUGGAUUUUCGUUGAGUUUCAUCUCAUCUUUCACAACAUUCGCAACUUUGAUAACUAGUUUUCAUUUUUGUACCGGAACUUGCGAAUCAUGAGAUGAUGAACUACUAGUGGAAGAGUUAUUUGCGAACUUGUCAAAUGCAUUCUUUAUUUGUUGCUCUAAAAACUUCCCAUUUUGAUAUUGUCUUCCUUUCCCUUCAAGCCAACGGUUGAUCAUACAUACAUCAGAUUUUCCUUUUGUAUACGAAACUUUGGUCGGUUUUGAGACUGAAGGAUUUGGAAAAUUUGGUUGUUUAAGUGAAAACUUCAUUUUUGUUUGAGUUGUGACAUUCAAAGUUGAUGAAUUAUUCGUGAAUUUGCCAACAUUAUGAAACUUUUGAUUAUUCACAAAUUUUUGCGAAGUCUCAAAUUUUCGAUUGUUGUCAUAUUUACGAACAAAUUUAUCAUUAUUUUUCAUUGGAAUUUUGUCAACAGAAUUUAUUGGUUUAUGAAAAUUUGUAUCCUUUCGUUUAUUUAUGCUUUGAAAUUUUGAUGAUUUUGACUUUGAAAUUUGUUCCUUUUCAACUUUUGAUUUAUCAUUGGACACAGCUUGCCAAAAGAUUGUUUUUCUUGCUUUUCUUUUUCAAACAUUAUUUUCUGUUGAAUAAUUUCCAACCAUCAAUUUGAAUUCAUGAGAAUUUAAUUUCACUUCAACCUUUGAUUUUUCAACUUUUUCAAAAACUUUAUUUUCUUUUUCACCUUUAACCACCCAUUUUUGUGAUGAUUUUUGUCUUUGAAAAACAUAAGAAUUUUGAGUUAAAUUGUUUUCUACUAUGUUUUGAUUUGUGAAGAAACCUUCAGUAGUUGACCUUUGAUUAUCUUUUUCAACCAUUUUGUUAAAUUCAGGGUUAAUUUUCUCAGCAUUCCCAGUAGUGACAAAAACUUGAUUUGGAAAAAUGGUGUUAGCAAUGCAUAUAAAAUUUGGAUAAACCACAGUGUUAGUUUCCAAAUAAUGUGCACCUUUGUCACUUAGAAUUUUGUCGAAUUCUUUUGUAUCUACAAAAACUUGAUCAACCACAACUCGUGGAGGUAUUUCAUGUGAAUCCUUUACAUCUUCUUUGUUUUCAUUAGUGUCAUCUGAAUUCCAGCUUUCAACUUCCACAUUAUCAAAAUUACAAUGUUGCGAAGUAGAGGGUUUUUCAAUUUCAUCUUUGACUUUCGAAUCAACUAUAAUUUCUUUAUCUUUGAUCUUAGAUGAGAUAUUAAUGAUAGACAAUUGAGAACAAUCAACCUCUUCUUCCUCUUCAAUCUCACUGAUUUCACUCAAAUUAUCUGAAUUGUCAUUGACAUCACCAUAAUUUUGUUGAGAAUCAAGAGUUGAAAUUUCAUUUUUCUAUAAAAAUUUCACUUGUUCAUUCUUUGUCAAACUUUCAUUAACAAUACUAACCAAUUCAUCAGCAUUCAAAAAUUCAUCAAUUUUGACAAUACCCUAUGCGAAUCCAUCAUCAGGUAUUUUGUCAAAUUGAGCAAUUGUGUUUUUCGCAAUCAUAAGACACAACAUCAACUUUUUCACGAUCAUAUUCAAGAAAAGGUAAAAGUUUCCUAUGUUGUUCUUUGCUAAUGUUAGACAAAUGAUGUAAAGUAGUUAAUUUUGCAUACAAAUGCUUAGCAGAAUUACAGUAUAUGUUUCUUUGUGCUAGCAACAACCUAACUUCAUUUGCAAGAUUGUCCCUAUCACAAUUUACAUUUUUGAUCUAUAGUUCAAGUUUGUCUACUCUGCUUCUUUUUAUUUCUAAUUCUCUUCGUGUCUCACCUAGUUGCAUAUUUAAAUUUUGAGCUUCAGUACUAGCAGACACAAUAACAUAAUCAAAAUAAGCCACAGUAUCAUCAAAUGAAGUGAUUUCAGCAUCAUAAGCAGAUAAAGGAAUAUUAAAAGAUUCAAGAAUAGCACGUACCUUGGUGGUCAUUGGUGAUUUGUCUGUGGAUUUGGAUACGAAGCACCUACCUGAAACAUCCUCUUCGCAAUCUUCAAAACUUGCUAACAUGGCUCCAUGAGUUGGAUGCCUUAUUUCUUCAUCAUCAGAUCCUGAAGACCAAAUUUGAUAUGUUCCACUCUCUUCCUCAUCAGACUCACCAUUCGCAACAAGUGACAUUCCUUUUGUCUUUGCAUGCAACUCUUCAAUCUUUUCCACAUCGUAGGCUUCAUCUUUCACUUUGUUCUUUUUCUCCUCUUUCUUUCACAACAUGCAAUCAGCUGCGAAGUGAUUCGCACCAUUGCAGUAGUGACAGUAGAUUCUAGAAUCACCUUUCAGUUUUUUCACAUCUUUCGUAUCUUUUUGCUUUUCAUCAACUUUUUCCAUUUUCUUCUUCUCCUCACCUCCAACUUUCGUGACUCCACUCUUCGCAUCAUUUGCCUUUCCUUUUGGAUUAAAAGGCUUUUUGAAAAAUUUCUUAACUCUGUUGUUUGAGUAGAAUGCCACAGCUUCAUCAUCAGAGUUCAUUAAGAAUCCUUCAUUGUCUGAACCAUCUGUUUCAUUAAUAUCAACUUCUGAUACCUUUGAAACAAGAGCCAAAGGACCUCCUAUACUUUGUUUUGAUUCUUCAUAUAUUUCUGAAACUUCACUUUCGUGUGUUUUCAGCUGAUUGUAGAGAUCAUUCAAGCUGAUUGUAUCAAAACUCUGUUGAUACUUUAUCAUCAUGCUCACACUUCGCCAUUCCUUGUGAAGGCCCAUGAUGAAUGUGAAAUUGAAUUCCAUGAGAGACCUCGUGAUUCCAUACCUAUUGCAGCGAUACACAAGCUCAUUCAGACGAUCAUAGUAAUUUUCGAGAUUUUCAGCAUCCUUUUGUCUGAAUUCCUUCAGUUCAACAAGACAUUGAUUCACAGAGUUGAUCUUUGUCUUUUCGCUACCUUGAUACUUCUCUUUCAGAGUGAUCCAGAUCUCCUUGGCUGUUUUACAACUACGGAUGUAAUUGUAAACUAUAGGAGGUAGAGCACCUCUUAGUUCCCUCAUGCAUCUCUUUUCAUUCUUCUUCAAAUGAUUUUGUUGUUCAGCAACUUCAGCAGAAGUAGUAGAUGAUCCAACUGACUGAACAUUAGCAGGAGCUUGAACUGUUCCAUUGAUACAAUUCCAAAGUUCUUCACCAAUUCCAUUUAAGUAAUCCUCCAUUCUGUCAGCCCACUGAUCAUAGUAUUCAGGGAUUAACAUCGGAAUUUUAGUUGAAGAACCAAGCAAGUGAGAGAAAGAAGUCAUUGUAUUCAUGUUGAAGUUCGCCAUUGAUGAACACGAGAAAUUUUAGAAAGCUUGAAAAACUUGAUGAAUUUGAGAAUUGAUCAACUGAAAUGAUCACAAAUUGCUAAUCGAUCACUCGACUAAACAAUUCAAAGGCAUAAUCGAUUCAAAUCUGAAGAUCAAAAGUGAUUUUCAAAACCAAAAUGCGCGGAAAAUUUUGAGUAAAGAUACUACUCAAUAAGCAAAUGAUUCUAACACGAAAAUCAGAUCGGUGCAGUUUGAAUCCUGCUCUGAUAUCAAUAGAAGAGAAUUGUUAUCGAGAUUAUGAAAGCAAUUAUGAUUUGAAUUUUACAAUACAUAGACUCUACAGUAAACCCUAAUGUGUCAUGGCUCUUCAUUUCCAUGACCCAUGGGUUUGUAACUCCCAUGGAGCAUCCUAUGGGUUUAACCCAAUUUGAUAACCCAUGGAGCCUCUUAGCCCACUAUACAAGUUAUGGAUGAUUUACAUAAUGAACCCAUAUAUUUAAUUAGUUAUCUUUUGAUCACUUAAUUAAUUCUUGAUCAAACUAAUUAAAUAAUAUUAUUAAUAUAUUAGAACUUAUAAUAUAUUAAUAAACCAUAAGUGUUAUUUCUCUCAUUUUAGUUUAUGCAAUUGCAUGGUGCCAUGCAACCCAAAUGGAUCAUGUCGGGUCGGGUCAAGUACAUACCAGAAAUAGUUAUGGACUUAGACAGCUUAUCCAACCAUAAGUUUGACAUAACAUCUGACUUUAUCUUGAAGGAAAGAUAAUCGAAGCGAUCAAUAGAGGUAUCACGUUUGUCAUCUGUAGUUAGAAGUGCUACUUUCUAGAACGUGAUUAUAUCACAUUAGAAUGUGAAGGAAAGUAUCUUUCAUGCUAGAGUCUGACUCAAAGAGACCUAAUUCUAACUGUUGCAACAUUAAUAAGAAGUCAUUAAGGACAUGACCCAUUGUUUUGUCAGUAUAACCGAAGUAAAGACCUUAUCUUAGGAGCAGGAGCCUCCAAUAAAAAUCAAAUUUAGAAGGAAGAGUAGGUGUAGCACCGUCAGCGGUCCAAAAGUCUAAGAGUUAGAAACUCAAUAGGAAGGAUAUAAGAGUUACGAUUACCAGCUAGGAUGGAAAGGAAAUGUUCAGAGUCAUUAUACAAUCCCUAUUUUGUUGAUGAUUCAGGGACAUAAUCAUCCUAAGGAGGGAUAAUUGUAACACCUGCGGAUUCAUCGAUUAAAUAGAAUAAUAUAUAAAAAUGACAUUUUUAUAAAAGAUUAUUUAGGAUAAAUACUCUUAACCUAGCUGUAAUAUACAUAAUAAGGAUUUUGGAGAUAUAAGGAGCGUUCAUAUCUAACUUCGUAUGAAAAAGUUAUGUUUCUUCAAAGUUUCACGAUUAAUCCAGCACGACUCUGCGUAUCGUAAAAAGUGAAUUUUUGAUAAUUUCUUUUUAGCCUAAGAGGUUUAAACAAAAUUCAUAGUAGUCAUUAAACUGAGAGCAUACAUACAGAGAACGUCAAAAUUUAACUUCGUGAGAUGAAGUUAUGAUUUUUUGAAGUUUAAGCGCAGCAGUAUAUGGCUCAGAAACCGAAGUAGAGAUCGGUUGAUUGUUAGGAAAAACAAUCUAAACGAGAGUUGAAGAUCUCAUCCAUAUGGUUCUGUCCAUAUAAAGACAGUCGACGGAGUUUAAAUGAAAGUUAUAGAUCUCGUUGAGAGCUUUCUGGGGAUAUGAAGAACGUUGAAAAUGGAGCUCGUAUGAAGAAGUUACGACAUUUUGAAAAUCUAAAAAUCACACACAAGGAGUGCGCCACACACACCAAUGACAUGGCACUCUCUGGAGGCGACACGUGGCAAGUUGACCGCUCCCCUCCUCCAAAAGACAAGCGAUGUGGCACAUGGAAAUGGUGACACGUGGCACGUUCUAGAAGGAAUGGGUGUGGCCAAACUAGCAAGUGACACAUGGCAUGAGGGGGGGGGAGGGGCCAGCAAGGCCCACAUGCGUGGUGCGCACCAUGGACCUGCGUGGCACGCAUGCCCAUAAUUAUAUAUAUCCCUCGUUCUUCCCUCAUUUCACCUUACAAUUCAUCCCAAACUCUCUCUAAAAUCCAUCAUUUCUUGAGUCUGAUUUUCUUAAGGUUCCUAGGGUCAUUUAGUAAUGUUUUGAGGAGCCAAGGUGUCUGGAAAAUAGAAGCUUUCGGUUUCAAGAUUUUGUUUACGUAAUUUUCCCGGUUUUCGCUAAAAGCUUUGUAAGUUAAGCUACACUCUUUUGCUUUUAGUGUAACUUAUAUUUAUUGUCAUAAGUCAUUAUUAUGAACCUAUAAAUUAGAUUUAUCAGUUAUUCUAAGUCAAAAUACUAAUUGAUCUACUUACGGGAGAGGUUUCUAGAAUGGUAAUGUUGGCUUGGUUGUUGGAUUUCAGAAACGUUAUAAUGUCAGAAUGGUCAUGCCUCCCAACUGUCUUGCAUGUCUGAUCCUUACAUGAUAGAUCUCAAUGUAGACAUUGAGAUUAGUGAGGAAUGUAGACCAUAAUUAUUAUAGUCAUAUGAAACUAGACUAAGGCUUAGUACUUUAUGUGUCUAGGUCUUUUCGAAGUACGUAGCAAAGCUCUGUUGAAAUCAUCAGUCACUCAUAUUUAUCAAGUGAGUCCAUAGUUACUUUCAUUUUACACAUAGAUAUGAAGUAUCUAAUUAAUUAAUUGGUAUACAUGCUUAUGCACAGAGAUAUUAUAUGUUAGAUGAAAUGUUAUAAAAAAUAGUAUUAUAUGAUUUAUACCUCAUAUGUAUUUCUAUAAACAUUAUACAUUUGGUAACAAAGGGCAUACCUAACAUCCAGGUACAAAGAGCCACCCCAUGCUAACCAAAAGUUGACAGGCCUGAUUUGACCAAGACCUCCUAACCAUGUGCCGCCUACCAAAUACCCAAAAAAGGAAUCUACAACCAACACCAUACCUGACAACCGCACAUACUGGCGUACCUGAAAAACCCUAAACAAAAGCCUAGCAUAAAAAACUAAAUUAGCAUAUACAUCCACCCUGUCGAUGAAAUUUGUAGAUUUGAUUGGUCUGCGAUCUUCCUGGCCACGCACCGUAUUACUGGUAAGUCAAAUAUAGAACCCACGUCCAACCGCCGUCAUCAAUAACCUUGCGUAUAUAUAUAUAUAUAUAUAUAUAUAUAUAUACAUACACACACACAAAUACUAAUGAAACUAGUAUGAAAACUAAUCGAUCUCAUACUAUCCAUAUAUCCACCCGGCUCUAACAACCCUACCAACCACUAAAAGCUCUCGGGCUUACCCCUGAUCUGCUAACCAUUAACAGAUCUCAGGUUUAUCCCUGAUCCGCUAACCACUAACAACUCUCGGGUUUACCCCUAAUCCGCUAACCACUAACAACUCUCAGGCUUACCCCCGAUCCACUAACCACUAACAGAUCUUGGGCUUACCCCUGAUCCGCUAACCAUUAACAACUCUCCUAACCUACAAGACUUAACUAAACCGACCAUUCCUUUGGGCCAUGACUCGGAACUUCUAGGUCCCAAUCAAAAAAGAACAAACAUCGAAGUUCUCUUCACAACCCUCAACCUAAUCUCUUAAUACCCUAGGACCCUAAAUCAUGAAGAUGCCCUAUGGAUUGAUAACACAACUGUACUUAAUACAGCUCAAAAGAAAUUUGACAACUCGCGAUGAACCGGACGCAAAAUUCAGAGUAUUAAACAAUUGCGUAUGGGUCUAAAACUUGAGCCAUCUAGCUGAAAACUGCAUCCUACCAUGAAUUCUUUCUGCUAAGAGAUCUCCACUCUCCCCCACUUGGAAUAUAUGAAUCAUUCAAAUGCAGCCAACAUAAAGCUAAAAUUCUAACUCAAACUAACGGGAGCACUACCUAUUAUUUCCUCUAAUAAAUAACCCAAAAUGAAGAAGAUAACCCUAAGUCUAAGUCACCCCUAGCAAUGCAGCCCACCAAAGACCUCGAAACACUACCAACAUAAAUGCAUACAUAGGACAACUCUCAUCUAGAAGGAAACUUCCAAAAGCAAAACCGUAUUCUUUAAUGCAAGACAUAAUAAAAUAAAUGGAAAACAUACCCGCAGUUGACAUGGUCGCCACACAUGGAUCCUCUACAACAAACUGGUAGGCUCUUUCUUCAUCCCUAGGCACCUCAGCCCUCCCUGACGUCAAUCUGGAAUCUGCCAUGCUAAAGGUGUGGGGUUCUACACUUCACCAAAAGUGAGAAGGGGUCAAUGAGAUCUGAUAAGGGCCUCCUAGUCGCAAUGCAAACAAACCCGCCCACUUUUCCUAAAAUCUCUGUCGAAAUACCCUUCCCUACUACACCUACAACAUGAAAAAUAUCGACACAUUACAUCAUAAAACUUCUCACAUGUAACACACCCAGAAUUCAUUUUGUCUACUGGUCCUUAUCUCGUGUCGGCAGACUUAAACCGCUUGGCCACCGACUGCAAUUGCACUGAAGUUGGCCUCUCCUAUUUCAUAUGGAUCUCUAACUCAAUCUCCCUCCUCCUGGCAUUCGACUAAAACUUUUACAACGUCUGGUACAUUUUACAUGAUACGAACUCCCGAAUCACCAUCUUGAGAAUACUUAAGUAUCGCGACAUCAGCUCCUACUCUGAAGCGGCAUACUCUGGGCAACACACUAUUCCAGUCGCUCUUGUUCCUGCACUGAAGGUAUGAAGGUCGGGUACAUCGUCUGCUUAAGCGACGGGUACUCUUGUUCCAGUCGCUCUGCAUGAAACAUUUGCAAACACUACUCCCAAGACAUUUUGGCUCGCUCUGCAUGCGAAAUGCUCUGGGUCACAAACUCCCACCAAUCCUUCACACCCUAACGAAGAAGAUUCAAUGAAAAUUUCACAAUAAUCGGGUCCUUGUCACCUCUGAACUUAGGAGGUUGGAGGCUUCGUAAUACUGAAUUCCCAAUAGUGCAUCAUCCCACCUAUCUGAAGUCCCAACACAACAGCUGCAUGUUACAUGACAGCUGUAGAAAUCUGGUCAAACAAAUCAAUCAACACGAUCUUAACCGACCCAAACAACUCCAGUAUUGCCUCCCUGAUCACCACAACCACCUCAACAACAAAGAUCCCUUGGAUUUCCUCAUCACUAAGACCUAUCCUCUCAAUGCAGCCAACACCUGAUCCUAAACCUUUGAUAGCCUCCAUACUCAAAAACAAAAUGUAAAUGUCGAACAUCAAGACACAGUGCUCAACACACUAUUCCUUAACCUAUUAGUUCCUUAGUAGCCUCGAUAUUCCUUCUAACUCUCAUACGAAUCCUGUUCUUUUAGUAGUAUGGGCCCAUACUACCUUUUACACCUAUCUAUAGUCGAACUAGAACUCAUCUCUGUUGGGUUUUGAGUAUUCUAACACUCCUAAGUGUACAUGCAACCCUAAAUACCUUGGAUCUAUGUUUUCUCUAUUAUACAUGCAAUUAUGAACAUCCAAGGUAUUAUACUAAUCUAGCAUACAAAACAAUGAAUAUAACAAGAUAGAAUACAUACCUCUUUGAUGUAGAAUGUCUUCAUGAAGCUUGAGUGCCUAGUGCCUCAAGUGUGACACCUCAAAUGGUUCACACAACACCAAAUACACAUGGAAUGACUUGAGAGAAAUCUACACUUCAUGAAAUCGGCUAGCCCUUCUUUUCCACUCACUAGUCGCCAAUUUUGGUGAAUAAUAUGAUGCUUAUAUAGUGUGUUAAAAUUAGGGUUACACCAUGUAAACCCUAAUUGUCAUGACCUUUCAUAUCCAUGACCCAUGGGUUAUGUAACCUCCAUGGAGCAUCCAUGGACCAUCCUAUGGGUUUAACCCAACUUGAUUAUCCAUGGAGCUUUGGCCCACUAUAUAAGUUAUGGAUGAUUUGCACAAUCAACCCAUAUAUUUAAUUAGUCUUCUUUUGAUCACUUAAUUAAUCCUAGAUUAAUUCUUGAUCAAUACUAAUUAAAUAAUCUUAUUAUUCUUAUUAUUAAUAUACUAGAACUUAUAAUAUAUUAAUAACCAUAAGUGUCUUAUUUCUCUCAUUAUAGUCUAUCCAAGUGCAUGAUGCCAUGCAACCCAAAUGGACCAUGCCGGGUCGGGUCAAGUCUUACCAAUUAUAGUUAUGGACUUAGACAUUAAUCCAACAGUCUCCCACUUGGAUAAGUCUAAAACUAUUAUUGCGUAUGACUUCAGGAACCAACUGGCAAUCGUAGCUCUCAAAAGCUUCUGUCGAACUCUGACCUUGUAGAUGAACUCUGACCUUUGUCAAUGACUUGUCCAUUAGAUAAGGGAUCAUAUAUUCCUCCAUUCUAGAUAUCAUAUGGACUGAGACAUGGAUUAUAAUCAUUCUCUCUGUCCAUUUGUUGUUUCCCGAUUUCCGAUUUAUGACGACUGACUAAUUGAACAAAUCAAAUCAGUCCUGGCCCGGCCGAGCACUUCCAUUUGUCAUCAUCAAAUCAUCGAGGGGCCCACAGAUAUCGCUUUUAUCCCGAAGGUAAAAGGAAUGGAUAAACUUCGACUCAUAUGGCUUGUUCUACUACUUGUUGAAUCAUACACAAAGGCACGUUUUAUAGCACCGAGUUACCAAAUGCGUUUUCGUGCAAUCAAUGUACUAUCAACUCAUAGUAACAACUCAUAUCUCUAGGUUUGAAGAAUAUAAGAUAUUAUCGUCUCAUGAUCACUCGUGAUAAAAUCCAUGAAGUGAUUCCAAUGAGCGCGGGUUGAAUCCAAUACUCAGAACUUAUGAGCACUCAUGAGUGUUGUAGCCCUUUGUCCAACACCUUAGACCUCUACAAGCCAACCCAUGACAGUCUUAAUUCAUAUCUACUUCCAACAUAUGACCGACUGUGGAUGGUUUGAAUAACUUAGUCAUUCCGGAAGAAUAACCUAGUUUAUUCGGGAAGUCAAAACAUGCAAAGUGAAACACAAUAAUAAUUGAAUCCAAUAUGGUAUCAACCCUUUGAACAUAAAUAAAACACCUUUUAUUUAUCACCAUAUGAUUACACAUUAUUCAUUGUAUACUGUUUCAGCUAUCAACUUUAUUCUUGAAUUUAAAACAAUAGUUGUCCCAUGCUCCAAGCAUGUACACUAUGUUUUCUUAAACACUAGUCAUGCCACACACCAAGUAUGCAUACUAUGUUUGUCUAUGAUCUUUACUUUGUGAACUAGAUCAAUUGAACAUAACUUCAAUGAUUCUCUUUUCACACUCCCAAAUCCUUACUGCAAAUGCAAGAAUUCCAAAUUCAUGCCAUUUACUGAAAUCUGUUAGAUUCUAAACUUAUAUGCAUUGAUCCUCUUGUAAUGAUUAUGCACAAAGUCAUAAAGACUUGACAACAAUCAUUACAGAGUAUUCCAAAGGAGAUCAACUCCUUGGAAAUAUCCUUCUUGCAUUAAGUUUCCUUAAUCUUACACAGAUUGAAAAUUCUAACUUUGAAACAUUUCCAGAUUCCAUUUUGACUAUCACUUCUGAACAAGAGUUGCCUCCUUACAGAUUAUGUCAAUAUGGUCCUUCCAGAAUUAUCACUAUACUUCCAAUUGUCCUUGAGUAACCAAUCUUUGGUAAACCUUAGAUUGUCCUCGACAAUUGUUUAAUCCUUUUAGUCAUAUCCAGUUCUAAACCUUUUCCCUUCUUAAUGCCCCAGGCAUUUGGAAAAUUUUAGAACGGAUGAAUAUAGCACAUGUAAUCGAUCCUAUAUCCGAAGCAUAUGGGACACGAUUCAUGAUGUCUCACAUAAAGACUAAACCAGUCUUUUGCUAUAAUAUUUCCAUUUCAAUUUGCCAAGUUCUCAUAAUUCAGAUUAUGAAAAGGGAUGCCGUAAUCAUAAUCGAAUUUUAGAACGCAAAUAAUGGACCCAUAUACAGAAUUUCCUUAUGUUGAGCCAUUCCAACAUGAAAUUCAUAUAUAUCCUUGACUAAAUGAUUAAAACCUCACGAUCUAAGCUUAUAGAUUUGAGAUGAAGCAUAAUUUCCUCUCCCUUAAUUAUAGCAAAACAACUUUUUCCCAAUUGAAACUUUUGUUUUCUAUAAUUAACAUUGCUAACUUGCAAUACUUAUCAUAAUUAUCAUGCUCCCACUAACAUGAUGAUUAUUAGCAUAACACUUAUGCUCCCACUAGCUUUGACAUGUACUCAGAAAUCAGCUGGACUUCUAGAAAUCAAUACUUCAUUGACUUUCUUACCAAAGUUCAGAUUUCUGAUACUAGAUUGUUUUGAUAAAACUUUAUCAAAAUCAUACACCUUCCCUUAGAUAGCACACUUGUGUGUCUAAACAAUUAUGAAGAGGGAUGCCGUAAUCAUAAUGGUUAGACCUUUUUGCCACUUCUCACAAGUCCAGGUUAGUGUGCCGGUAAACCACACACGCUCCACUAACGACUUUGAGAAUGCAAAUAUCACAAUUGCUAUCUAGCUAAAAUCUACUUAGUGAAAGUGUUUCCUCACCAUCAUUUUCAUGAAUCGGAGAGAAACCUUAUGACACUUAGAUUUAAUGGUGUAUGUGUUCUUAUCCAUGUGAAUUGUCAAAACCAUAGUCACAAGACAAGGAUAAUGACAAAUCCAAACUCAUAUGGACUGAACUCAAUCUUAAUUUCUUGCCACCUGGCAGCUCAAGGGCCUGCCAUUGCUUCCAAGUUGUUGUGCAACAAAUUGAGAACUCUAAGAACUCAUAUGCAAAGCCAACUUUAACUGGAAUGGGCACAGAAUAUGUCAACACGAUAGGUUAUAAACCUCAAGUCGUGUGCUAGUGAAGAACUUCAGGUUUUAUUCUUGAUUAGUUCUUGAGACUUUCAAGACCUUUAAGACUCCCACUGUCCUCUUGACAUAUAAGACUCCCUUGUCAAACAUCCAAGAGAUAGUGCGGAUUCUAAUCAAGAAAAACACUUUACCCAAUUGGCCUAAGUUGGUCUUUGUUUUAUCCAAAACAUCACAACUUACCAAUUUCAAAUGUACAAGAGUAGAAAACUUUUACUCUUACAUUUGACAAGUGUUUUAAACCUUCUUUAAGACAUGUCACUCAAAUGACAAUCUUGGAGUAUGACUCUAAGACUUGUAUUGGAACGAAGUAUGACUCAUCUUCUUGAUUUAACCAUUUCAACAAUUCAAGUUCCUCUUCUUAGUCAUAAGAAUGCACUAAGAUUUCCUUAGAGAACUAAUUUUGAUAUGGUUUCUUAAUCAUUAAGAUGAUCACAAAACUGAUACUAAAGUACUCUCCCAUCUUUUCAGAUUUGAGAAACUUUUAUCUUUCUGCCUAAGUUGAUUCUUAUUAUUUUCUCUGCCUUACAUUGGAACCUUUUCCAAUGUCUCGGAAUUACACUUAAGCUUGUAAGUAUAAUCAUAUUUACUAAGCUUUAGUAAACUAUAACGAAUAGUCUUCUCGAUCUUUUGUGGUGCACUUGAUCAGUGCACAAGAAUGUGUACUCGAUCCCUUAGUCCCUUACUUUACUCACACAUCCAUGUGAACAAGUAAUUAGUCUUAAUUUUCCAAUACUUGAAAGUUCUCAUUCAUCAUGCUAUACAACUUGCAUGAUUCCAAGUUCCGGUCCAAUUGAAACUUGGGUGAUGAGAAUCUUUCCUUAUUUGGUAAAUCUAGACAUUACCACAAAUGAAAGAAUCAAUUUCAUAUUUCCACUCUUGCUCUUAAUGGAAUCAUAUAAGCAACAAUUUUUCCUCAAAUGCCAUUGUAAGGAUAUUUUAAAAUAAAUAAAAUCAGAAAUUUUCCUUUUAUUUUAAAACUUUGCAGAAAAACUUAUCCUUACAAUCCAUAUGAAAACUUAUUGUUGUCUAUUCCUAAGCAAAAAUAUCAUAACUCCUAAGAAGUAGCUCAAGAAUCCAAUCUUCAAACUAUGCGAUAGAAAUCCAUCUACGCAAUCAGAUUCAACAUAUUCUUUCUUUAAGUUUCUUUACUUUUCUUUGAUUCUUAAAACAUCAACAUGUGACCCAGUCACAUCAUGUAUCAAGAAUCUCAUAAUAGAAACUUAGCAGAGUUAGAUACUGGACUUUACCUGAAGUAGAGUCAAACUUAUUGACUUUAACAUCCUUAGGUAAAUUGGCAAAUUUGUAACCAAUGCCCCUUCCUUUGGCAGUAUCAACAUAUGGACCCUAUGGUAAUGGUGCAUGGGACUAUCACAGACUUAGCUUUUCUCUAUACCAUUUCGUCAACCGAGUUGACUAUGGCCGAUCACUUUCCAUUGGGAAGAGAGAGCUUUACUGGAUAUCCAAUGUCAUCAUUGUCAAUGUCCAUAAAGUUUUAGGAAGUUGAUCUUAGCAAAUGGAUAAAAUCAUUAAGGGUCCUGUCUUAGUCAGUUUCAUAGGAGUCCUAAAGGAACUCACUAUGAGACUUAGAAAGUAGUUGAGCCACCAACUCUCUUAACACUUUGACACCCAACUCUCCCGGCUUGUCAAUAUGUGACUACAUCUCCAAGAUGUGAUCACACAUAGACCUUUGCUUGCCAACAGGGCUUGAGUGACCUUAAACUUUUCAAGAACUUGUGGGUUAGGGAGAAUAAUUGGAGGAGGUGAAAGAAGUAUGAUUUCCAUGGAACAUCAUCUUCAUUUAGGAAAGCUUGUUUCAAGAGAGUUAGGAAGAUCAUAAAUGUCUAAACCAGACAUGUUUUGGGAGAUAUUCAAGAUAGUUGAUCUAAAGUCCUUAAUAUGACACCCAAUAUGAAAUAUUAAGGCUAGGACCCAACACAAUAUUUUUAUAACUUGGAAGAGGUAUGCCGUAAUCCAAGCUAUAAAUUUGAAGGUAAGUGAAUGACGAUUCACCAAUUUCCACCAAGAUAAACGAAAUGUAUUAUUAGGUUUUAAUUGGAUUUGAAACUCCUAGAUCUUUGAGAUUCAUUGAACUAUUCAAUGGCAUGUUUCAAUCUCAAGUGUGCCCUUCAAGUUUUGUGACUGGGAUGCGGAGCAUCACAAAACAAGGUGUGAAGUAACCAUGCAAAUUACUUGGUACCCUUAAGUGUUUACCCCUCAAUCGAUGUGCCGGUUAACCACACACGCUCCAUCGAUA